AUCCGAUCUUUUUUCCAGAAUGUAGAGAGAGAAAGAAAGAGAGACUGUGAUUAACAAAAGAUUGGAUUUUUGCAAACCCUAACCCUAAUUAGUGAGCUUUUUUAAAUUUAAUUAUUUGCUUUUGCCCUUUUAUUUGCUUUCUCUUGAGCUUUGACAAAUGUCAUAUUCACCAGACAGAAAAUCUGGAAGCCCAACAAAGUCACAAGUUCUGAAGAGGCCAAGGCCAUUGAGCCUCCCAGACCAAGCUCUCAAGUAUGUUAUCAUGAAGAUGCAGCUUCAGAGCCACCACCACCACCACAGCUCUCUCUCUCCUUCAACUGCUUCACCUUCUCCUCACUCUGAGUCUGACCUCUCUUCUGGGUUCAAUUCCCUUACCCUAGACCCUCCCGCACCAGAUUCCACCUCCCUCUUAUCCGAUGAGCUUCUCCUCUCCAUCUUCUCCAAGCUCCCAAUUUCCCAGUACCUCCCCAACUCCCUUGUCUGCAAGCGCUGGCUGUACCUCCAUGGCCGCUUGGUGCAAUCUGUAAAGGUCUUUGAUUGGGGAUUUUUGGACUCCGGUCGGGUCUUCGCCCGGUUCCCGAACCUCACUGAGUUUGAUAUCGUCCAUGCUUGCAUUCGGUCGCCGCGGAAUUCGGGGAUUCUUGUGACGAGGAAGGCUUUGACUGUUCAUAUCGACUCGCUUUUCAGCCCAAAUGGGUUUAUUGAGGAAAGUGAUGUGUUGAAGAACAGUGUGGUGGAUGAUGGGCUCGGGUUGAUUGCCAGUUCGUACCCGAAUUUGCGCCGAAUUGCGGUUAUAGGUGCCAGUGAAAAUGGGUUGUUGAGGAUUGCUGAGGAUUGUCAAACACUGCAGGAAUUGGAGCUGCAUUGUUGUGGAGACUUGGCGUUGAAGGGAAUUAGUACGUGUAGGAACUUGCAGAUUGUGAAAUUGAUUGCUUGCGUUGAUGGGUUUUACAGGGCAGUGAUUUCGGAUAUUGGGUUGACAAUUUUAGCUCAGGGGUGUAGGAGGUUAGUGAAGCUUGAGCUUUGUGGGUGUGAAGGGAGCUAUGAUGGGAUUAAGGCAAUUGGGCAGUGUUGCCAAAUGCUUGAGGAGUUGACUCUCAAUGAUCAUAGGAUGGAUGGUGGGUGGUUGGCUGCUCUGCCCUUUUGUGGGAAUUUGAAGACUUUGACGCUUGAGUCUUGCAAGGACAUUGAUUCAAACCCCGGCCCUGAUGAGCACUUGGGAUUUUGUCCCACCAUUGAGGAGUUGCAUUUGCGGCGGUGUCAAGUGAGGGAUAAGCAUGGUGUGAGAGCAUUGUUCUUGGUGUGUGAGGCUGUUAGGGAUAUUGUUCUGCAGGAUUGUUGGGGGUUGGUGGAUGAAGUAUUUGCAUUUGCGAGUAUUUGUAGGAGGGUGAAGCUGAUUUCUCUGCAAGGAUGCUCACUGCUGACAACAGGAGGUCUGGAGUCGGUGCUCCUUUGUUGGAAAGAGCUUCAAAGGCUUAGAGUAGUAUCAUGUAAAAAUAUAACAGACAGUGAAACAACUCCUGCCUUGGCAACCUUAUUUUCUGUUCUGAUAGAGUUGACAUGGCGACCAAAUACCAGAUCUCUCUUGUCAUCAAGUCUUGCUGGGACUGGAGUGAGACUGAAAGGUGGCAGGUUUUUCAAGAGUUUAAAGCCUUAACUUCUUGAUGGGAAUCUUGACUUCGGUUGAAUGAGCAUCAAAUCACUUAGCAGUUGUUCAGUGUUUGGAUCAACGCACAAAAUAGAUAGGUUGGAUGUCCAUCAUUAUGAUAACAGAGGAUGGUUUGCUUCCUCGCAUACAGCAAGACUGCCGAAAGGAGUUUGUCAUCAUUUAAAGACGUUCUAGCCCUCUCUCUCUCCCAACUGGUGUGUUGAUAACCUGGAUGUCCACAGCUCAGCAUCAAGUUAUCAAUGUGAUUUAAGCCUAGUCCUGUUUCUUUAAUGUUCAGCAAGGACUGCAUACGUCAGAUUUGACGUGGCAGGAAACAAUUGGUGGAGUAGGCGUGGAAGCGUCAAGCGGUCAAGCCACGUAGACAAAAAGAAACGCCAACGCGUUUGCGUUACAUAAUAAAACGGAUUUUCAGCCCAUCGGAGUCAAAAACCCUUCUCGGAUCUUCAACCUUCGAUACACGCCAGCAUCUCAACUCGUUCUCUUCACCGAGUCGACUCA